ensembl:piRNA 21ur-4092 ncRNA
GUUAGAACUAUUGAGAGUUAC